UACGUAGGGAGCAAGCGUUGUCCGGAAUCAUUGGGCGUAAAGCGCGCGUAGGUGGCCCCAUAAGUCCGCUGUGAAAGUCAAAGGCUCAACCUUUGAAAGCCGGUGGAUACUGUGGGACUAGAGCACGGAAGAGGCGAGUGGAAUUCCUGGUGUAGCGGUGGAAUGCGCAGAUAUCAGGAGGAACACCAAUAGCGAAGGCAGCUCGCUGGGACGUUACUGACACUGAGGCGCGAAAGCGUGGGGAGCGAACAGG
rnacentral:rRNA from 1 species